GACGAACGCUGGCGGCGUGCUUAACACAUGCAAGUCGAACGAAGUGGCGAACGGGUGAGUAACGCGUAAUCAACCUGCCCUUCAGAGGGGGACAACAGUUGGAAACGACUGCUAAUACCGCAUACUGAAGGAGGGGAUUGCGUCUGAUUUGCUAGUUGGAGGGGUAACGGCCCACCAAGGCGAAGAUCAGUAGCCGGGCUGAGAGGAAUGACGGCCACAAUGGGACUGAGCAACGGCCCAGACUCCUACGGGAAGCAGCAGUGGGGAAUCUUCCGCAAUGGACGAAAGUCUGGCGGAGCAACGCCGCGUGAGUGAUGGCGGCCUUCGGGUUGUAAAGCUCUGUUAAUCGGGACGCGGUACCGGAAUAGAAAGCCACGGCUAACUACGUGCCAGCAGCCGCGGUAAUAC
rnacentral:rRNA from 1 species